AUACGGAGGGUGCAAGCGUUACUCGGAAUCACUGGGCGUAAAGCGCGCGCAGGCGGCUUGAUAAGUUGGAUGUGAAAGCCUACGGCUCAACCGUAGAACUGCAUCCAAAACUGUCAGGCUAGAGUGUGGGAGAGGAAGAUGGAAUUAGUUGUGUAGGGGUAAAAUCCGUAGAGAUAACUAGGAAUACCAAAAGCGAAGGCAAUCUUCUGGAACACUACUGACGCUGAGGCGCGAAGGCGUGCGGAGCAAACAGGAUUAGAAACCCCGGUAGUCC
rnacentral:rRNA from 1 species